rnacentral:tRNA from 1 species
GGUUGUGGCUCAGUGGUAGAGCGCUUGCUUCAAGCGUAUGAGGCACUGGGUUCAAUCCUCAGAACCA